AGUCGUAACAAGGUUUCCGUAGGUGAACCUGCGGAAGGAUCAUUAACAAAUCGUGUCUGAGCUUUAUGCUCAACAUUUACUCUGGGGGGGAUUGCUCUCCCCCAUUGUACAUUUACGCUUGUAUUGUUCGACUGUAUCAAUGAAAUCUAUAAUUAAAGACAACUUUUAACAAUGGAUCUCUUGGCUCUUGCAACGAUGAAGAACGCAGUAAAGUGCGAUAUCUAGUGCGAUUUGCAUGAAUCUGUGAGUCAUCGAGUCUUUGAACGCAACUUGCGCCACUUGGGCAACCAAGUGGCAUGCCUGUUUGAGUAUCACAAACCUCUUUAUUCCAAGUUUGGAAUAGAUUUGAAGGCUUUGGAGUAUUCCAAUCCUUUGAAAUAAAGUUUGUUGGUGAUUGAUUUGGUCACUACCAUGUGCUAAAGACUUUUAGUCUUGUCAUGUUAAUGAUCAUAGUCAACCCAUUGCAAGAUCCAAUUUUGCAAAACUACCUUUAAUGGUCUCAAAUCAGGCAAGACUACCCGCUGAACUUAAGCAUAUCAGUAAGCGGAGGAAAAGAAACUAACAAGGAUUCCCCUAGUAAUGGCGAAUGAAGCGGGAAUAGCUCAAAUUUAAAAUCUGGACGGUCCCCGUCCCGAAUUGUAGUCUAAAGAAGGUAAUCUAGACCGAGUUAGAGACCAAGUCCCUUGGAAUAGGGCGCCUGAGAGGGUGAGAGCCCCGUAUAGUCUCAAUACAAAGUUAUAACGAGAACCUUUCUAAGAGUCGAGUUGUUUGGGAAUGCAGCUCAAAGUGGGUGGUAAAUCUCAUCUAAGGCUAAAUAUUGGCAAGAGACCGAUAGCGAACAAGUACCGUGAGGGAAAGAUGAAAAGCACCUUGAAAAGGGAGUUAAACAGUGCGUGAAAUUGUUAAAAGGGAAACGAUUGAGACCAGUAUUGAAGAUGAGCAGUGAGCCAGGUCUCUCGGGACUUGGCAAGCCUCACCUUCGAGUCAAUACCAGUUAGAUUUGCCUUAUACCGUUUCGAGGAAGGUGGGGAAGCUUUCGGGCUUUUCUUUAUAGACUCGAAAUAUCAAGGCAGGUCUGACUGGGAAUUCGUCAGUCUAACGAGUUGAAGACAUGGUUAGGCGUCAUCGCUAGGCUGCAUGCAGACUAGUAAUAGCCCUAAUCCUCGAAUUACCUCAUGAUUGUCACUAUUGACGAAAUGGUCUUAAACGACC
rnacentral:rRNA from 1 species